rnacentral:sRNA from 21 species
UGAAAACGUUUUAAAAUAUAUCUGUUCUAUAAUUUCGUUGAAAUGAAAAAGAAUGGCCAAUUUUACGAUUGGAAGGAGAUUAUUCUUCUUUAUGUCAACGAAAAAAUUUUUUAAGGAGGAAGAACAAGA